rnacentral:tRNA from 1 species
GGGGCCAUAGCUCAGCUGGGAGAGCGCCUGCGCACGCAGGAGGUCGGCGGUUCGAUCCCGCCUGGCUCCACCA